rnacentral:rRNA from 1 species
AAGUUUGGCACCUCGAUGUCGGCUCGUCGCAUCCUGGGGCUGGAGAAGGUCCCAAGGGUCCGGCUGUUCGCCGGUUAAAGCGGCACGCGAGCUGGGUUCAGAACGUCGCGAGACAGUUCGGUCCUCUAUCCUCUGUGGGCGCAGGAAAGUUGAGGGGUUUAAUUCCUAGUACGAGAGGACCGGAAUUAACGCACCUCUGGUGUUCCAGUUGUUCUGUCAAGAGCAUCGCUGGGCAGCUAUGUGCGGAAGGGAUAAGCGCUGAAAGCAUCUAAGUGCCAAGCCCAUCCCAAGAUAAGCUUUCCCUGAAGGAUCGUGGAAGACUACCACGUUGAUAGGCCACGGGUGCAAGCGCGGUAACGCGUUCAGCUUAGUGGUACUAAUCAUCCGUUUGUCUUGCAUUG